AGAAGGAAGCUUGCUUCUUUCAAAUCUAGUGGCAAACGGGUGAGUAACACGUAAACAACCUGCCUUGUACUGGGGGACAACAGUUGGAAACGACUGCUAAUACCGCAUAAGCGCACAGCAUCGCAUGAUGCAGUGUGAAAAACUCCGGUGGUAUAAGAUGGACCCGCGUUGGAUUAGCUAGUUGGUGAGGUAACGGCCCACCAAGGCGACGAUCCAUAGCCGACCUGAGAGGGUGAACGGCCACAUUGGGACUGAGACACGGCCCAAACUCC
rnacentral:rRNA from 1 species